rnacentral:lncRNA from 1 species
UCCCACAGUGUCUUCCUUUCAAACCUCAGGUGUAUCAGAGGCUUUGUUGUGCUCCUUCUGUCUUUAUAUUUUUUUUCUUUCUAUUUUUUGUAAAACUUUUUUAAUAAAAUCUUGAUGGCCAAUGAGGAUUCAAACUCCAUAUUGGGUUUUAACACCUCAAAUUCGAUCUAUAGCAGCGAAGACCACAACAGCGAGGCUCAAGACAGAGAAGCCCAUAGUGCAAGCCUGCGGCACAGCCUGCAAGCGCGCGCAGCCC